CGCGUGGUUCUAUUUUGUUGGUUUCUAGGACCGCCGUAAUGAUUAAUAGGGACAGUCGGGGGCAUCAGUAUUCAAUUGUCAGAGGUGAAAUUCUUGGAUCUAUUGAAGACUAACUACUGCGAAAGCAUUUGCCAAGGAUGUUUUCAUUGAUAAGGAACGAAAGUUAGGGGAUCGAAGACGAUCAGAUACCGUCGUAGUCUUAACUAUAAACUAUGCCGACUAGGGAUCGGACGAUGUUAUUAUUUGACUCGUUCGGCACCUUUCGAGAAAUCAAAGUGCUUGGGCUCCAGGGGGAGUAUGGUCGCAAGGCUGAAACUUAAAGAAAUUGACGGAAGGGCACCACCAGGGGUGGAACCUGCGGCUUAAUUUGACUCAACACGGGGAAACUCA
rnacentral:rRNA from 1 species